CUUUUUUUAUAAACCCUAGAAUUAUUUAUACCCACCUCCUUACUCUUUCAUCAGCCGCCCAAGCCCCAAACUCUCCCUCUCCCAUAAACGUCUGCCUCACUUCUCUGCCUUCACCUCCAUUGCUUGCUACUUGCUACCACCGUAUUUUGCCCCUUAAUAUCACAAUUCUUGGAGUGUCACUCUUUCCUCUGCCGUUUUCGCUAUUCUCAGGAAGUUUUAUAGAAGAUUUCGAAUUUUGAUGCUCCUCCUUACAAUGCUUUCUUUGAGUGAUUGACGAAACCAGAAAUUCCUGAGCCGAUCUGGUCCUCUAUUCCUGAAAUGAUAGAAAGAAAAGAUAGAGAAAAGAGAGAGGCUAUUCAACCAAAACGCAUAGUUUAACCCUCCACAAAUGGACAAAAAAGAAGGACUCACCAAAAUUACAAUGUAGACGAACGGUGAAAAAUGUUGGUGGUACAGUACCAAAUUACUGUAGAGGCAUAGCCUCUUUUUAUAUAGUUAAUAGAUACACAUCUUUUACA